GACAGAGGAGCCAAGCGUUGUCCGGAUUGACUGGGCGUAAAGCGCACGCAGGCGGCUGUGCACGUGGGGUGUGAAAGCUGGCGGCUUAACUGCCAGACGCCACCUCAUACGGCACGGCUCGAGCCCGUGAGAGGUCCACGGAAUUGCCGGUGUAGUGGUGAAAUGCGUAGAGAUCGGCAGGAACACCCAGGGGGAAACCAGUGGACUGGGCAGCACCUGACGCUGAGGUGCGAGAGCGUGGGGAGCGAACCGG
rnacentral:rRNA from 1 species